rnacentral:rRNA from 1 species
AAAACUUUCAACAACGGAUCUCUUGGUUCUGGCAUCGAUGAAGAACGCAGCGAAAUGCGAUAAGUAAUGUGAAUUGCAGAAUUCAGUGAAUCAUCGAAUCUUUGAACGCACAUUGCGCCCUCUGGUACUCCGGGGGGCAUGCCUGUUCGGAGCGUCAUUG